GCAGUUCAAGACCAGCCUCUCUCCACAUCUGUGCACACCUGCCACAGUGCACAUCUCAGAAGCAUGCUUUUUGUCAUGGGCUUCACUCUGCUUUAAGUGUCCCAUGACCCACCAACAUCACUACGAGUAGAGACAGAACUCCAUGGAGCACUCCAGAGGAGCACCAGGAGAUAUUCACGCUGAUCAUGGUCUUGAGAAGGAUGGUGACGAUGAUAACUUUAAGUGAAAGUACCAACAAUAAGAGGCAUCCUGGAGGAAUUUACAAGCCCCUGCUCUGUCUUCCAGGGAUACCAAGAGUACUUAAUAAAUAACUAAGGCUGAAUCCCUUGACAUCCCUCGACAUGCAGGUCUGAGAGGAAAAGGUAGAGAAAGCGUGCUGAGAGAAGACCCAGAUUAUGGCCCCAGCUCCGCCACUGACCAAGGUCACUCAGACAUGCAACCUCUCAGUCCAGAAUCCAGAUGAUUCCUCAGCUCAAUCUUCCUCUCGGAAGCCUGAAAACUUGCCAUCAUACCACAGGGAAGAAACCAGAGAAGGCACAAAAUAAACCAUCAGCUCGGGGAAUUUGUGGUUGACAACAACCUAGUUUUACACAUUUCUACAACUAAGAGAUUAACUCUACAUAAUUGUUUCCUUAAAACUGGUAGGAGAGGUAAUAAGAGCACCUGGCAGCCCCUCUACUAGCCUAGGAACUUUGGAAAUAUCUCCCUAGGUCUCAAAUAUAAAAUGUCAACAGUA